GGGGCGGGGAGCGGGGCCGGUGUGAACGAACGAUGGAGCCGUGAGGGGGAAGCUGCCGUGACCGCGGUCCGGCCGCUCCGCCGCCCUGAGGUGCGGCUCUCGGGCGCAGGAGCCGUGCGUGCGCCCGGGUGAUCCUCGGGCCAAAUUCCAGCUCCUCAGACGGGCAGCCCGUGAGGGCUCAGCGCCCUCAGCCCUAUGAUGACCCCCUGUUCUACCCAAGGGAAGCUACUUCGCAACUUGACUGUUUUAUCUUUCUUGUCUUUGCAAAAAGUGCAAAGCGUACGCAUGUUGGAAUAAAGACUUUGAAAAGAGAGCCGAUAACACUGAGUUAAAGCCCAAGUGCACGGUGUGUGGGUCUCCCAAAGCAGGGAACAGGUGCUGGAUGAUCUGCCCUGCUGCUGACAGCAUUGUUUGCUAAAAUCGGGUGUAUAAACGUGCUGGUGGCAGGCAGUGAUCUCUGAAAUCCUCCACUGGAAGAAAUCUUCCCACCUGGACGCGUUCCUGCUCUGGGUGACCCUGCCUUGGCAGGGUGUUGGGCUGGGUGAUCUCCAGAGGUUCCUCCCAAUCUUUACAAUUCUGUGAUUUUGCCCAGAAAACAGAUGUUGCUUAUCGAAACAAAAACAGCGUUCAGCGCCAAACAUGGGACACGCCUAUACAAGUCUGCAGCUUCUGUGCCUGUGUGACUAAGAACUAAAGGAGAUUAGUUUAAGCAGUAAAGACCUGGGCAUUUGUGACCAAAUACAGUUGUCCCUGAAGUCAGUGACAAUUUUGAUACAAUUAAAGAGAAGCGUUUCUAUGAGUGAAGAGCACUGUUCCUGCAGCUCCCAUUUGUUCCCGGGGAAUUAGGACUUUUAGCAACAAAUCAUAAUCAUAUCUGCUAUAGUAUUUAGUGUUCAUAUAGAAAUUUAGAAUGUAAUUCAGGAUUUAAGAUGGAUGACCUAAUGUCUGAGCAACAGAAUCUUGUGGAGAAUGCUGUGGUUUAAGCAUCUGCAUUUAAUUAGAAAAAUAACGUUUAAACAGUGGGGAAUAAAACUAUUUUUAUCAGGCACUUAGGAAAGCUCACAUUAGCAAAACUUGGUAUUAAAUGCUAGGCAUUAUUUCAAAACAUUUAAAUACAUCAAAGCAGAGUUUCAAACAGCUUGCACUACCCUAUUCAUCUAAUGAGAAGUCAAAAAUAACAGUGAUUUCAUAGCUGUGGCACUUUGCCUGGAGAGUGGCCUUAAGCCAGAAGCUGAACUGAUACACUCAAUAUUCGUGCUCCUCUUUUAUCAUCAGAUGUAGAACAGGCUCCUGACCACUACACACUAAAAUUCAUAUGCCAUUACUCUGAAGUGAAAGAAUAUUUGUCACUCUGUCCCUGCCAAAUUCCAGUAUGAGUUGCACUUUCUGCAAGCCUCUGUUUCUAUGGCUUGCAGUUGUGUUACAUAAAGCCGCUUGGCGCUGUCUGUUCCACAUUUGCUGUAAUGAUACUGUUUCACCAGACAAAACUUGGAAGCAAUUUGCAAGUGAUUUGAACGCUGCAGUCUGUGUUUUUCACUCUAAGAUGUUUGUAUUUUGGUGGAUGAAAGUAUAUUGAUAGGAUGGAAUUUUUUUUGCUCUGUGCAGCAAAGGCACCUUUUCAAAUACACAGAAAAAUUUCACUAAAAAGCCAUCCUUUCCUAGCAUCCCGCCUAGUAAAACUUUGCACCUUUUAAAUUGCUCAAAAGCCCACACUAGACAUCUAUGAAGUUUCAUCUCACCCUUGAGAGAAAUAGUUUUCAGAAGAGAAAAUUGAAGCAGAGCAGUCAAGCCAGAUAUUGAUUAGCCAGUAACACUCCAGCACUUCUCAAAUCAGAGGUCGACUCUAUUAAGAAUUAAGAUUCCCACAUCAGAGACCCCACUUUAAAAUAGUGCCCUGGAGUCACCUGAAUUCACACAGCAGGUUUAUACAGAAAAAAAGCAGCUGCUGAAGAAAAAAAAGUCACCUUCCAAAGAUUAGGUUUAACCCAUUGCCCAGUCUCUCUUGAUUAGACUCCAAGCUUUCCACAUAAGUUUCUAUGGCAGUAAUGAUUUCAGAUGUUUGUUUAGCAAGAUCAGGAUACAAAUGCUUUCUGAUAGAGAAAUAUUUACAUAAACAUAAAAACAUACAUAAAAAUGUUAGGUCCAGUAAGCUUUUAUUUAUGCAUGCAUGAGUAAUUCUUAUAUAAUCAAUGGUGCUACUUUUAGGUUUAUAAAAUUAAACAUAACCACAGAAUCAUUGCCUGAACAUGCAACCAUCAAAUUGUCACUGGGGCUGCUAGUGUUGCUCCCUGAACUUGUUCCUAUGGAAGACAUCAUGCAUUUCCAUCAGUUCUGAAUGGUGUUUUGGGGCCCUUUUCCAGCAGGAACUGGUGAGAUGCUGUCAGGCUGUAUGGCCACAUCCAGUGCAUGAUGAGAGGAGAGGAAGUGCAGCACUGAUGCCAGAGGGUGAGCUGCCUGCAGCAUUCCUGCCUUGGAAAACUCUGAAGUGGCUGCCAGCUGAGCCCUACCACCUGCCCCAUCCCCGGAUGCACCAGCCCCAUCCCAGGCUCCCAGGGUGCUGCAAAGGGAGUGGCAUCAUCUGGUGCACUGACUCUGGGGCAGCCCAGCUCUUGUGUUGCAUCUACAAAACACCUCUGUCCUUUGGGACAGAAAAACAGAAAAGCCAAAGAGGUGCAGAGUAGGCAUGUAGGUUUGUGUAGCUCCUUACAGUAUCAUUUUCCUGGUGGAAAAUUCCUCUCAGUCAUUACUUUGGUUUUAAUGAAAUAUUUUGUAAUUUCUCUAAAUGAGUAUUUUAAUCUAUGCAUUAUUUACUUGCUAAUUAUGGUGCUAAUUAAAAAUGUACGCUAUAAAAUACCUGUUUUGUUUCCAAUCCAUCAAGGUUAAGGGCUGCCUGAGAGACACAGGGUUUCUUCAAGCAUUCACUUACUGGCUGAAACAUCAAUUAUAUAAAGAUAAUCAGUGGCUGAUUUUCAGUCACAAGGCUUUUCAUCUAAAGACACAUGUGUAUUCUUACCUAGAGCAACCAGUCUUCAGGGAGAAAGUAAAAGAGCUAAAAAACAAACGGAACUUUUUAAAGGGAAAACUUGCAUGCAGUUUGCACUCCCUUUUUGUGCCCUGAGAGAAAUAAAAUCAGAUUAAAUUACAGGAUUCACAAGGUGACAUUUCCAAGACACUUACUGGAUGUCCACAAUAAAUGCAGUAGUUAUUUCUUCUUACCCUCUCAGUUCUUAAAACCUGGAUCUUGACGUUACACCUCACAUUUCCAUUGUUGUUUUUUUAUUUUCACUUGAGAGCUUUGUUGAGAUUGUAGAACUUCAACUUCUAUCCAACACAUUAAGGUCAAGAGAGCUGGAUCCCAUAUGCCAGGUGAGGGGCUCCAUGUGACAUGAAGAAGGUCAAACCUGUCAGUGCCCUGCAGGCACAGAGAACUUUGCACUGCAGCACCCUUCACCAAAAGAUGCUCUGCACUUACCUCAUCCCUGGCUGCAAAUCGAGAGAGUGCUUUCCGUCAAUUCCCCAUUAUUUAAACCUGUGCCUCAAUGGUAAGUGGCAGGAUAUUAGCCAAUACUGGUGAGUUCCUCCCUUUCUCAAGGGUGAGAGACUAAAUUCGUGCCCAUUGACUUCACCCCAUCCCUGCUUUGUACAAGAAUCUUAAAGAGAAGUGGUUACUCCCUUGCACAGGUGUGUCAAUGACAAAGCCCAGGGCUCCAGCCUGGCUGGGUUACACAGAUGCCUCAGGGAGCAAGGCAAAGAGGCUUGGAGAGACAGACAGACAGACAGACACCUUAGGGAAGUGAGGAAGAUUUCAGCACUGGAGAGGCUGUUCAUUAGUGCAGCUGUAAAAGCAAUUUGUGCUAACAGGGAUGCAUUUUAUGUAGCAACAGGGUUUUACAAAAGCGUCUACCAAACAGAAUAAGCUGGCAAAAACACUUUUUCCUUCCAACAUAGUGUUUACAAUAAAGUUUUUGGCUCUUUAAUCACAUCUCCAGCUGGUAUUUAUGAUUGGACCUGUCUUUCCACCAGCUUUCCUUUCACCACCAUCCUUCCCACCCAAACCAAGUGUGUUGACAUUGUGUUAAUAACACUCUGUAAGCCUCUGGGCAGAUCUCCCACGUAGGUGUAUCCACCAGGAAUGCCAGGCUGGCUCCCAGCUGUUGCUGACCUCCCUUCCCACUGGAGCCCUGUCCCAGGCCAGGCUUCCCUCACACAGACACAGCACAUUGUUGUUUGGUUCACAUCAAUCACAAAAAAAAGGCUUUUGGUUGGGUUUUUUCUCUCCCCUCUUUAUUUUGGUAUAAAUAGAAUAAAAUGGGUUGAUUUACACUGCUCUUGGGGAAUGAGACUUUCCUGGCCUUUAGGUUGGAGAUUACUAUCAAGACAAGUUAUGUAUCAUACAGGAAAAGUAUAUGUAAAGUCUGAUGACAGGUCAUGGUACCACUGAUUCCACAACACCUUCACAACUCCUUUCCAGCUAAACUUUAAGAUUAGUCACAUACGCUCAGAGUUUCAAAAACCUCUCUACCAUUUCAGCCAAGUUUCUGAAGUAGUUGCAGAAUAAAUAAACCCUUGGGAAGUGGUUAGCAGUUAAGCUUUAUAAAUCUAAAGCUAGAUACUCAAAAUUGGAGAGAGUGUGUGCAUAUAUUUAUUAUUUUUUUUAAAUCCCCUCAUGGCCUAGUAUUCUAGAAGUAGGGAGCAAUAAUAUACCAUGCAGGAAUAACUGGGGACUCUGUGGGCAAAAAAAAAAAAAAAAAAAAAAAAAAAAA
ensembl:lncRNA